UGCGUAGGCGGGGCAAUUAGUCAGUGGUGAAAUCCUGCGGCUUAACCGUAGAACUGCCAUUGAUACUGUUGCCCUUGAGUAUAGUUGAGGUGGGCGGAAUGUGUAUUGUAGCGGUGAAAUGCAUAGAGAUUACACAGAACACCAAUUGCGAAGGCAGCUCACUAAGCUAUAACUGACGCUGAGGCACGAAAGCGUGGGGAGCGAACAGGAUUAGAUACCCUGGUAGUCC
rnacentral:rRNA from 1 species